rnacentral:lncRNA from 1 species
CUAGGUACAGAUUUUCAACUGUGCCUCCACAAGCUCUUCCUCAUGUGAACCCUCAAAUACUGCAGAUGAGUUACAUCAGUGAAGGUGAUUCUCGGAGGAGGUAUUUGAUUUCCACAUCCCGCUUGGACGUUGAUGGGGGCCAAGAGGACUGAUAUACUGGGAAACUGGCUGCAUGCUGACAGAGGCUGGCUGUUUAUGAGGUGUGACAUGGGCCACAGAGGAAGGAUGAAACUGGAAGGAAACGAGCUUGGACGCUCUGUGGGACGCCUGUCCCAGGACUGGGGUCUGUCCCUGGCAGAGAAGCGUUUCCGUGGAUGGGCUCUGUGCCUGUGGGGGUUCCUGGCUGCUGUGCUGGGGUGCACUCACCACUGCCUUCAACCGCAGGGCCCCAAUGAAAGCGCAAACCUCUUGUGUUGCGCUGCAGUGGGGUUGCAGUCGCCGAUGGCAGCGUGAGAGCGGGCCGCCUGCCAUGAGCCCCGCACCAGUGAGCAGGGGGCCUGGGCAGGGGGCUCUCCCUAGGGUCUCGCAGCUCCUCGUCCGGCGCUGGCCUGGGGAGCCCCACGAGCACCCAGGGGGCUGCCUGGUAGCAGCAGCGUGGCUUCGGGGCCCUUCUGCCUGCAUUGGACCCACUGCAGGGAAAGAAGCCAUGAUGUGAGAUGUUGGCAAACAAGUUAUCCGAAAAGAAACAUUUGUCAGUUUGAGUCAGAGCCCUGUUUGCUUCAGUGUCAAACCAGAAAAUAACUGGAAUCAGGUUGAGACUUUUUUUGUUAUUGAAAUAAAA